GGUGGACGUGGGGAAGAAAUCCAGCCCUGAGAAGCGUUCCUGCUUGGUAGGCCAGAUGAGCUGACCCCAGAGGAGGGUGUUCUCGAUGGGGCAGCAUCCCUUUGAAGGACCAGACAAAGCAGGUAGGAUCCCGAUGUAGCCCAAUUCCUGGAGAUGGGAUGCUGCUUCCCUCCUUGUUGCUCACAAGAGGUAUGGUGCGGCAGGUGGGAAGAUUUUUUUCAUCCAGAGAAAUGUUUGCAGUAAAGGCAGCAAAUUGUGGUGAUUGUUAAGGGUCUUCCCAGAACAUUCAAGCCCAGGAAAGUCAACGUGCCUCAUUUUAAACUAAUUUCCAUUCCAGAACACGGGAGACAGCCCUUCCGGACAUGAUGGAUGUCCUUUAUUACUUCUGAGCGUGGCACUUUCUGAAACAGAUUUUGCAAAUGCACAGCUGCCCAUUUUUGCAGAGGUCAGUUAGAAUUAAGCAAUUUCUCCUGGUUCCAAGCACUGGAAGGCUCUUCUGGGAAGCAAUUGACAUGAUGCUGUUUAGUACUCUGGCUAAGAAGCAACUAGGCAGCUCACUUCUGCUCUGACCAGGGAGUGCAGGGGUUCCCAGUCUUGGGUUGUUGGACUACAACUCCCAUCAUUCCCAGCCACAUUGGACUUCAUGGCAAUUUUUUAAAAAAAUUAUCUGUCCCAAAAGGGCUCACAAUCCAGGAGGAAACACAAGGUGCUGGGUUGAAUAGGGGUAGUUACUCUUCCCUUCCUGAAUAAGAGAGAGCCAGCCACUGCUUGAAAAGAGGCCUUCUUCACGCCCUGCCUCUGUGCUUCCUGGGAGCAUCCAACCAGCCUUCCCUGGGAACAGGAUACUGGACUAGAUAGACCCACUUUAGUCUGAACU